CCUCCUCCUCCUCCUCUUCUUCUUCUUAACUCAUAUAACUAAAUAAAAAAAACGCAUCAGGACACCACAAUCUUGCCUAAUAACCAACGAGAGUCACUGGGUCAUGGACUUGAGAGAAAAAAAAGAAAAAAAAAGAAAGAAAAAGAAUAAAAGCGAAUAAAAGAAGAAACAACAAAAACGACCGCAACAAUUUUUCAUGACCUGCCUUCCUCACCCUCCCAUUGGUCGAUUGAGAGAGAGAGAGAGAGAGAGAGAGAGAGAGAGAGAGAGAGAGAGAGAGAGAGAGAGAGAGAGAGAGAGAGAGAGAGAGAGAGAGAGAGAGAGAGAGAGAGAGACUAUCAGGUUACUUCAUUCCUGGACAUUAUUUUCCUUUUUUUUUUUUCUUUUUUCUUUUUCUUUUUUCGUAUUUUCCGUGUAAGUUACGUCUUAAAAACUGACGAAUGAAAGGUCUGUGUGUGUGUGUGUGUGUGUGUGUGUGUGUGUGUGUGUGUGUGUGUGUGUGUGUGUGUGUGUGUGUGUGUGUGUGUGUGUGUGUGUGUGUGAAUCGAGACGAGAAAGCGAUCCUUGAGAUACAAAACAAAAAAGGAAAAAAAAUGAGAUGAUAAAAACAGUAAAAAUGAAGAAAAGGAAGAAGAACAAGAAGAAAAGAGAGAGAGAGAGAGAGAGAGAGAGAGAGAGAGAGAGAGCACCCCCAGGAAAAUGAAUUGAUUUAUUGAUCGCUGCAAUGACUUCUUCCUCUUGGGGCUGCUAGGCAUUAGUCAGCGGCCCAGUCAAGAGGAAGCAAGAGGAGGAAGAGGAAGAGGGGCCAAGGAAGAUGAGAUAGAAGAAGAGGAGGAAGAGUUUGUCAAGAGAAAGAAGAGGAAGGGGUGCCUAUCAAGAGGAGAAAGAGGAAUAGGUGUUUGCCAAGAGGAGGAAGAGGAAGAAGAGUUUGUCAAGAGAAGGAAGAGGAUGGGGUGCCAUUUACGAGGAGAAAGAGGAAUAGGUGUUUCUCAAAAGCAGGAAGAUACAAUCAAGAGGAAGAAGAUAAUUUUGUCAAGAGGAAAAGGUGGCUAUUUAAAAAGAAGAGGAAGAUAAAUAAUCAAAGGAAGAGGAAGAGGAGGUAAUCAAGGAAAAUAAGAGGAAAAGAGAGAAUAGAAUCAUAAGAAGAAAGAGGAAGAAGUAAUAAUGAAGAGGAGGAAGAAGAAGAAUCAAGAAGAGACAGAGGAAGAGGUGUUAUUGUCGUUGUUGAGAGAGAGAGAGAGAGAGAGAGAGAGAGAGAGAGAGAGACUACUUCAUCACUGUCGCCAUUAUCAUUUACUUCCACAACACGACCCAAAACAUGCAUGAAAAAAUAAAUAUAUCAAAACAAAUCACAGUCACUUUUAAUAACUGACUUUAUAUCACUCACGCAAGAAAGCAACGAAGACGGGAAAAGAAGGGAAAGUAAGAAAUAAAUAAAAGUAAAGAAUAAAUAGCAGAAAAAGGAUUAGUAAAUGAAAAAGAGGGAGAAGGAGAGGAAGAGUAAGAAGAACGAAAAUUAAGAAGAAAAAGAAAAGACGAAGACGGAUGAAAAAAAGGAAGGGAAAGGAGAAAAAUAAAUAACAGGGCGAAAUGAAAGGAAAGGAAGAGGGUGAGAGGAAGUAAAAAUCGAAAUGCGAGUAAAAGGAAAAAAACUAAAACAAAAGAAGAUCAGAAGAAGUAAAGAGACGAAGAGGAAGAAAAAGGAGGAGAAAGAAGACGAAAUAGAAGGAGGAGGAAGACGAAGAAGAAACAGAAGAAGCAGAAGGAAGACGAAAUAGAGGGUAGAGAAAGGAAGAAGAGAGAGAGAGAGUCAAUCAGGAGUGAGGAGACGAAGGAAGAGGAGGAGGAGGAGGAGAAAGAGGAAGAGGAGGAGGAAACGUGGAGGAGGAGUAAAGAGACGAAGGAGAAGGAAAAUGAGGAGAAAGAAGACGAAAUUGAAGGAGGAGGAAGAGGAAGAAGAAACAGAAGAAGUAGAAGGAAGACGAAAUAGCGGGUUGAGAAAGGAAGGAGAGGUGUGAGAAGACAAAGGAAGAGGAGGACGAAAGAGCAGAAGCAGAAGUCAGAAGGAGGAGGAGGAGGAGGAGAAAAAGGAGGAGGAGGAGGAGGAGGAGGAUAUUUUGGUUGCAGGCACGAUCUUCUGUAAACGGAGGCAGACCGUGUCCCUGCGAAACGCGAUUCUGUCAAAACUAAACUGUUUACAGCCGAGCCAUCCGCCGCGGCCUGUUUACCGCCCACGUAAACACACCUCCCGCGGCACCUUCACUAAUCGCGAGGCCAAACAAUACCGUAGUGAGUGCUGGUGGUGGUGAAGGUGGUGGUGAUGAUUUUUGGUUAGUGGGUUAGGUUAGUCUAGGUUAGGUGGUGGUGAUGAUAUAGUGAUGAUGGUGGUAGUGGUGGUGGUGUGAUUUUAGGUUAGGUUAGUUAAGUUAGGUGGUGAGGUUAGGCUAGGUAAGUUGGUGAUGAUGGUGGUGAAUGAAGGAGGUGAAGGUGACGGUAGUGGUGGUGAUAUUUGAAUAGGUUAUAUUAGAGGGUGGUGACGGUAAUGUGGUGAUGGUGGUGAUGAUAGUGAUGAAAUGUUCUAAAAUGGGUCUUAAGUUAUUUUGUUCUCUACUAUCUUUUUUAACUUGUCAGUGGUAUAUUGUCAUUGUUAUUUCCUCAUCUUCACCCCCAUUCAUUCUCGUGUGUGUGUGUUUGUGUGUUUGUGUGUGUGUGAGUGUGUGUUUGUGUGUGUGUGUGUGUGUGUGUGUGUGUGAAGCCAUCAGUAAGCGAGGAUGGGCCCUUCAUUGACAACAUAAUAAAUGAAGAACAACCAGUCAGUCAGUCAGUCAGCCAGUCAGUCAGCCAGUCAGUCAGUCAGUCAGUCGAGUCACUACAACCAAAGGGAAGUCACACGAUACAAAUAUUUCAGUGGGUUGAGCAGGGAAGAGGAAGAGGGAGGA